AUAAAUUACCCAUAAGACAGUUUGCAAGUUAAACAUUUGUUGAUCUUUGUUCAUCUGUUCAGGUGAGGACACAGCAGCAGCAGCAACAACAACAACAACAACAACAACAGAGAGCGACUCCAGAUCAGGUUUCCCUACGACAGCUUCUGUGAUCACUGAAGAUGCUACAGGUUGGUGGUGGUGGAUCAUCAUCGUUGUGAUAGUGGCUGUUGCAGCACUCACAACAAUCGCUGUGGCUGAUAAAAAAGGGUUUCCACUAGGGAAGAUUACAUUGAUGCUCUUUGACCUCUUCAGGACAGAAACCUCAGACGAAUGAAAACAUUGUGCGUUGUGAUGUAGAUGAUGGUACAGUGAACUAUGCCAACAUCAGACCUCUUGAUGGAGUUUGAGCAACACUUCUGCCUCCAUCAGACUCCACUGAUCAACAACAAUCCAUCUUCAUGUUUCACAUCAGGAGUGGAAGAUUAAACAAUCAUUCUGAAUUAUCUAUUGUAUAAUUUAUGACAUUACGCAGCUGGAUUUGAACAGUUUAACAAUAAUUAGUUUUUAACGCUUGUUUACUUUCUCAUAUUGUCUUCCAGCUGAAGGUUUCAGAGCUGAUUUUAAGAUGUAUUGCUUGUUGUUGAAGCUACUGCAGAUUUAGCUCAGGUUAAUCAUUCUGUGCGCAGAAUAACUUAUUUUAAUCCACUUUCAUUUAGCGUUGCUGUUAACAUAACAUAUGUUUUCAGCAUUCAUUGAGUCCAAAUUUCUAUACUGUAUAUGUGCA